rnacentral:lncRNA from 1 species
AUGAUCUUCACAUGUUGCUGCUGCUUGUGCUGCUGUUGUUGCUGUUGCGGUAAAUGUGGCGGUUCAGAGAACGAAGAUCAUUUUCACUAUGUGGAUCCAGAUGAGCUGGAGGCGGAGAUGUCAGAGGAGCAGAGCAGAGGCAAUGACACAGUAAUAACAGGACAGCCUAUUCCCAGUCCAGCACCUGGAAAUUCAGGAAACACUGUGAUUGUAGGAAUGCCCAUUCCUGCUCACUCAGAUGGAGACACUUCUAUACUGAUUACUCCAGAUGCACAUGUGGCACAGGAGUAAAGCAAACAAUGGCCUCCAGACUUGUUAGGAAGACUGAAUCACAUCCUGUUUCUGGUUGUAGAAAUGAAGACACUGCUGUAGAAAUGUGUUUGAGCAACACUGGUUUGUAUUACACAGUGCCUGUGCAAUUUUGUGGCUUGUUUGAUCACACAUAACGCUAUUUCUGUUUACAUCAUUUUAUAAUUGCCUUUUGGUUGCUUGAAUGUCUUUUGAUAUUUUUUGCAGAAACACUUUAUUUUGUAAUGCUUCAUUUAAAGCAGCUGUAUGUAGUUUUCGUACCUGGAAUUUCGUACCCGCACAACAAACUUAAUAACAGAACAGACGUUUGGAAAGAAAUAGAAGCCAUUCGCCUUAUUAGAAGUUUUGAAACUGAUACUUCAAGGUAAAAACAUACAUAGAGUUGCUUUAAAUAACCUCUAGAGUACAAUCAAACAUAUAUUGCACGACAAAUUCAACCUGAAGUAAUACCACAAAAAUGUUCUGUUUAUAUAACAUUUUCUAUUUAUCAUCUUUAAUUCAUAUAUUGUGGAAAGGUUAAACCAUGCUUUUCCAGUGAAAUCUAAUAUAUGCACUUUGUGUGCUUUUCAUUACAGUAAUUCUUAAGAGCGUAACGUUUGUAUUAUUAAUGCUGUAUUUGUACAAUGUGGAGUCAUUAAGGCUCCAAUACAUGAUAAUGAAUAAAGCCAACCGUGUUUUCUCCAAUACAUGAUAAUGAAUAAAGCCAACCGUGUUUCUUAUCUUUAUAUGCACAUAAACACUGAUAUUUUAUCUAACAGACAACUAUAUGUGGUUUAUUUUGCCACCGUUGCAAGCGAACCUUGAAAUAACCUAACUAUUUUAUGACACAUGAAAAUUUGGUAUGAUGCUGAAGAUUAGAAGAUUCAAAUGAAUGUACAGUAUAUGAUUAAUGAAGAUUAUGCAAUAUGAUCAUAAAGGACCACUGUAAUCGUGCCUCACUGGUGAUAAAGCUGCUAAUUUGCAGGUGAAUGUUUCGUUUAUUGUGGUAACAUUGCACGGCCUCAGGGAUGGUUUUGUCUGAGAUGAAAAUGUUUUGUUUAUAAUUGAAAUGAAAUGAUUUAUAUGUGAAAUUAUGAAAGAUUAAAAAAUGUAGUUGAUUACUGUAUCUCUACUCAAGCUUUUUAUGUCCAUUUAUAUGAAUCUGUACAGCAGUAAAAUUGCUAUAUGCAAGCAGAACAAAAUAAGAUUUUAGAAUGUUAUUUCUGAAUGUUCUCAGAUUGUUCAAAAGGUUUUUAUUGGUUAUGUGAAUGUAAAAAAUGAAAAACAUUAAAGGUGAUUUACAAUUUUAUUUUGCAAACCUUAUGGGAACCUUACUUUUGAAUGUUUUGAAUUGUCUAAAUCUUCUGUAACGUGUAGUAACAUAUGGAUAACAUAAAAACGUGCCAUAGAUAUAUAAAUAGUGUUUUUGUGUUAAUAACAUUAUUAGAGACCAGAUCACUUUGAACGAACAUUCUGUGAAUGUUACUUGAAGAACGUUUGUUCAUAACUAACCUUGCCUGUUCUGAGAAGGUUCUCUGUUAGCUGGGAUGUGCAAAUGUGAUCUUUUUUUUCCUUUCUUUAUCUCUAGUUUCAGAAUGUGACAGAAUGUGUUUAUUUACAAAACAUUCUAGAAAUGUUAACUCGCACUUCUCAAAACAUCUUGAGAACAUAAUCUGUCCUGUAAUUAUGAGCACUAUUUAUUGAAAUGAUUUUUUUGUAAAUUAUCUCCAUGAUGAAUUUGGAGAAGGUUCAGCUGCAGGACAAGACCUUGAUGGACUCGCUUGAGCUUUUGGGGUGAGUCUCUCAAAUUCAAUGAAUCAAUCUGACUUGUUUGAAGGGUGUGAUCUAGAUUUCUUCAUUCUGUUUCUUAAGUCUUCUGGAUAAUUCAGAGGAUGAAUACGUCAGCACUCAGUUUGAGUGUAAACACGACACUUGAGGGUUUCAUUGUCACAGCCUGAAAGAAAAGCAGCAAGGCAAAACACAGGCCUGGAGGAAGUUAUGUGCUGUGUGCUUGAUCUUCAUGAUCGGGGAAGUCAUUGGUGAGAAUAAAAGGACAUGCUCUGUUUAAAGGGCCUAACCUGCUGAUGGCAAAAGUACUGUUGACAAAUAAAAUGGACAUGAACUUACUGUAAUUUGCAUUUGAGACUUGUGUUAACGUUCUGCUCUCGCAGAUGGUUACACUGCUCACAGUCUCGCUAUAAUGACCGAUGCUGCACAUCUUCAGUCUCUUCUCACUGUGGAUUUCCUCUAGGCCACCGUCCAAACAUAUGACCUCCGGAUGGCAUCAGUCAUGUGUAUGUAUAUAUUUAUAAACACAUACUAAGAAUACUUUUAUGCUCACCAAGGCUGCAUUUUUUUAAAUACAGUAAAAACAGUAAAAUUAUUAACAACAUCACUUUUCUUCAUCAUUUGUGCUUAAUGUGUUUGAAUCAGCUUGUUGAAUCAGUCAGUCCUCCUCAAGUUCACACAGAUCAUUACAUUAAAUAUUAACUUGAUCCAUUAACUAAAAAGUUUUAUAUUUGAUUAUUUAAUGCAGGGAUUCCCAAACUUUUUGUCAGCCAAACCUCUUUAACCUCAAAUAUUUACUUGAAGCAACCCUGAGAUUUUAUGUCAUUAACAAUUUAACAACACAUUCACGUUCAUGGUUGUCUGAUGUCAAUUAUCCUACAUGACAUGCAGGUAAACAUAAUCAAAUAUUUCAUCUAUUUGUGUGUUUUAAUUUGUUUA